CGCGGAUUGAUGUAAUGGCAGCAUGCCGGUUUCCUUGUCCGGUAGCGGUGGUUCGAUUCCACUGUCCGCAA
rnacentral:tRNA from 1 species